rnacentral:rRNA from 1 species
UACGUAGGGGGGCAAGCGUUGUCCGGAUUUAUUGGGCGUAAAGAGCGUGUAGGCGGCCAUACAGGUCCGUUGUGAAAACUGGAGGCUUAACCUCCAGACGUCGAUGGAAACCGUAUGGCUAGAGUCCGGAAGAGGAGAGUGGAAUUCCUGGUGUAGCGGUGAAAUGCGCAGAUAUCAGGAAGAACACCCGUGGCGAAGGCGGUUCUCUGGGACGGUACUGACGCUGAGACGCGAAAGCGUGGGGAGCGAACAGG